rnacentral:tRNA from 1 species
GGCCCCUUAGCUCAGUGGCGUUAGAGCAUCGCUCAUAAUCGAUUGGUCAUGUGUUCAAGUCACAUAGGGGCCACCA